GAUGAACGCUGGCGGCGUGCCUAAUACAUGCAAGUCGAGCGAACAGACGAGGAGCUUGCUCCUCUGACGUUAGCGGCGGACGGGUGAGUAACACGUGGAUAACCUACCUAUAAGACUGGGAUAACUUCGGGAAACCGGAGCUAAUACCGGAUAAUAUAUUGAACCGCAUGGUUCAAUAGUGAAAGACGGUUUUGCUGUCACUUAUAGAUGGAUCCGCGCCGCAUUAGCUAGUUGGUAAGGUAACGGCUUACCAAGGCGACGAUGCGUAGCCGACCUGAGAGGGUGAUCGGCCACACUGGAACUGAGACACGGUCCAGACUCCUACGGGAGGCAGCAGUAGGGAAUCUUCCGCAAAGGGCGAAAGCCUGACGGAGCAACGCCGCGUGAGUGAUGAAGGUCUUCGGAUCGUAAAACUCUGUUAUUAGGGAAGAACAAAUGUGUAAGUAACUAUGCACGUCUUGACGGUACCUAAUCAGAAAGCCACGGCUAACUCCGUG
rnacentral:rRNA from 1 species